AUCCUAUUUACUUCAGACCAUUUCUCCAGUUUGUCCAGAUCAUUUUGAAUUUUAAUCCUAUCCUACAAAGCACUUGCACUGUCUCCUAGCUUGGUAUUAUCCACAUUUUCUAG